GCGAGAGGGGGGCACACGAUCUAGCCAAACUGGUUUACACCCAGUAGGUCGGGGGUUCGAGCCCCUCAUGGCGCACAA
rnacentral:tRNA from 1 species